CCUACGGGGGGCUGCAGUAAGGAAUAUUGGUCAAUGGACGAAAGUCUGAACCAGCCAUCCCGCGUGCAGGAUGAAAGCCCUAUGGGUUGUAAACUGCUUUUAGCAGAGAAGAAAAGCUUUCAUUAAUGAGAGUCUGACGGUAUCUGCAGAAUAAGCACCGGCUAACUCCGUGCCAGCAGCCGCGGUAAUACGGAGGGUGCGAGCGUUAUGGGUAAUUACGGGGCGUAGAGGGUGCGUUGGGUGAGUAGUAAAAUCUUGUCGCUUAACGAUACAAUUGCCAAUGAUACUGGUACUCUUGAAUUGGGUUGAGGUUAGCGGAAUGUGACAUGUAGCGGUGAAAUGCAUAGAUAUGUCAUGGAACACCAAUUGCGAAGGCAGCUAACUGGGCCUUGAUUGACGCUGAGGCACGAAAGCGUGGGUAGCGAACAGGAUUAGAUACCCUUGUAGUC
rnacentral:rRNA from 1 species